rnacentral:rRNA from 1 species
AAGUUCAUAAGGGCUUAUGGUGGAUGCCUUGGGACUGGAAGGCGAUGAAGGGACGUGCCUAAUCUGCGAUAAGCUACGGGUAGCUGAUAAGAGGCGUUUAUCCGU